AACGUAGGAUCCGAGCGUUGUCCGGAAUCACUGGGUGUAAAGGGUGCGUAGGCGGGCUUGCGCGUCAAGGGUUAAAGACCUCGGCCAAACCGAGGGAAUGCCCUUGAUACGGCAGGCCUUGAGGGCGGGAGAGGAUGGGGGAAUUCCUGGUGUAGCGGUGAAAUGCGUAGAGAUCAGGAGGAACACCGAAGGCGAAGGCAGCCAUCUGGACCGCCACUGACGCUGAGGCACGAAAGCGUGGGGAGCAAACAGG
rnacentral:rRNA from 1 species